CCUACGGGUGGCUGCAGUGGGGAAUAUUGGACAAUGGGGGUAACCCUGAUCCAGCCAUGCCGCGUGUGUGAAGAAGGCCCUCGGGUUGUAAAGCACUUUCAGUGAGGAAGAACGCCUGGUGGUUAAUACCCAUCAGGAAAGACAUCACUCACAGAAGAAGCACCGGCUAACUCCGUGCCAGCAGCCGCGGUAAUACGGAGGGUGCGAGCGUUAAUCGGAAUUACUGGGCGUAAAGCGCGCGUAGGUGGCUUGAUAAGCCGGUUGUGAAAGCCCCGGGCUCAACCUGGGAACGGCAUCCGGAACUGUCAAGCUAGAGUGCCGGAGAGGAAGGUAGAAUUCCCGGUGUAGCGGUGAAAUGCGUAGAGAGCGGGAGGAAUACCAGUGGCGAAGGCGGCCUUCUGGACUGACACUGACACUGAGGUGCGAAAGCGUGGGUAGCAAACAGGAUUAGAUACCCUUGUAGUC
rnacentral:rRNA from 1 species